UGAGGAAGCCGUAGCAAUGGAAAGGAACGGAUGGGCUGACAGUAAUACUUCGAUAAUAUAGAUUACCGUGUCAGCUGUGCAACUCGUGGAAAUAUAAAGUUUCGUCGUGCAGCGUCUCUCCGGGAUCGACAAAGUCGAUAUAAUAUAGGCUGUAGAGGAAUACCGAUUUAUCAUCGAAGACGAUUAGAGAAAUUUUUCGUUGAAGAUACGACAUGGUGAGACGUUGAUUGUUUUCUCAGGAAUUAGAGAAAUUCUCUGUUGAAAGAUAGGUAAGAUAUUUGGAAAUAAUAAUCACCGUAGAAACUAGGAAAAUUCUCGCAUAUUUCAUGCGAGUAAGGAUUAAUUUUUAAAUGAAAGAACAGGGAAGUUAUAUGGUUUGUGUUUUGGUUUCUGACAAUGUAAAUCUAAGCAGAAAUUUGAAAUAUCGAGUUGAAACGAACGAAAGGAAUUUGGUGGUGAGCAGUACCAAAAAUUAAAAACGAAUGAAGAAAAGAAGAUGUUGAAUUAAGAAGAAAAGAACUAUCGUUACGAAGACCUCAACCACUUAACUAGGUCUCUCGAAAAAUAACUUUAUGUACAGAUAUCGAGAAACAUGUGCACGAACAAGGAAACUCGAGGAAUGCGAACCAACUCCGUUGAAACAUCUAUCCAACGCUAUCCGCCUUUUUCGUUCACGUUCCCAAGAAAAACCAAUUUAACGGUAGCCAAAAGCUUCCCGAAACGCGAGAUCUAAUAUCACCGAGCACAUCGUCUCGAAACAAUUUUCCACGACUGGCCACGUUCUUAUCCGGACCAAACGAAACUUUUCCAACAACCAGAUCGAUCGACCGAUGAGUCCGAUGUAAAAAUUGCCAACACCGGUGAAUAUCCACAUUGGAAUAGCGUACACGAUCGGUAAGUUCUAUCGAUUCUGGUCUCUAUGUUUAGGACUCGCAAUUUCCAUUAAACCGCGGUACAAGCAGGAAAAAUCGGAAGGACUAUGAUUUACGAUAAUCGUGUUCAUCCGGUGACGCGUGCGCGUAUUCCACGCGAACGCAAAAACGGAUCCCUGAUUGCGAUCGUGAUUGAUAACGGCUAUAGAGCGAGGGAUGUAUGCUCUACAGGUGUGUCGACGGUCGUUAAGGCGCGUCUAAUUGAAUGUACGCUUCAAUUAGGGCUUGACAAUGGUCGCUGGUCAGGCACGCUCUUCACUUUGCCGAAUGCGGGAUUAUACGCGCCGAAAAUUCCGAGAAUCUCCUCUGUUGUCGAGAUACGAAUCUCCCUCUCUCUUUCUCUCUCUCUCUCUCUCUCUCUCUUUCUGCACUCUGAAUCUCCUUUUAUUUAUAAGCGGAACAGCAAUUUUGGGCUCGAGAAUCGCGAGACGUUCGUGUUAUUUACGAAGAAUCGUGAAUUUUUCCAGUGCUUCGGCAUUCUUUGCAACUUGCGUCUCUUGGAUCGAGGACUUGGAUACAAAUAAAUAUGCAUACAACGUAGUUGACAGAAGAGACGCAAGUUUAGAAGAUUUUUCAAACAGUAAGAUAGAACGCUUCUUAGACAAAAGACAAAUGCGUCGAUUAUUGCGUUCCUAUUUAACUCUCUUCCAACGUAGAUUACUCUUACCACGUACGUCGACAAUGAUAAAACGUUUCAGUUCGAAUUGAGAAUUAAGGAUCGCGGUGCGACAGCGGAUCUUCCAGAUACGUGUGUUCGAUAUGCUGGAAUUUUUCUAAUCGGGGGCUUCGAUCAGCAACAAAUAGGAUGCUGGAACUCGUUCGAGAUUUAUGGGAACACUUGGAAGUGACGGGUUUUUAAAUUACGACUCUCUGUUUAACGUUCCACGUUGCUUUGCUUCGCGGAAUAGAGAAAUUAAGGUAUUUAAAUCAGCUACUAUAAUAUUCUAUGUAAAAUUCUUAAAAUUCUACCGCGCGAGCUAGUAAUUUAAAGAAACGAAACGGUCCCAAGUUACGAAAAGUCGUAAACGUUUGCGCAAGACGAGAGGAACGUUUUCCCAGAAUGCUCGGAAAGGUCGUCCGAGAACGUCACCGAUGCCCGAAAAGUCAGUUUCUCGGAAACCGAGGGGAAUAGCUAUCAACGUCGUUCGUCGACACGGCACUCGUACGACUGCAUUCGUGACCUCGUGUGCUUACGUCACGUAGAUAUCACGUACUGCGCUUUCGUGGUGAAAACUGCCGUAUUCCGCGAAACGCUUUGGAUUUGCUCCGUCGUUUCCACAAAUUCCACGCUCCGAGCUUUAAACCGAGGCGACUGGAACUUUGACAACCGCCGGAGACGUUUAACGGUACCACGCUGGGAAAAAAUGCCGUUUCAAGUCAUAUGCAGCAUACGAAAGUAUACGAGACCAUUUGAAAACCUAUCGUAGAAAAUUUUUACCUAUAUAUGUGUUGUACGACAUGUAUAAAAUAUUUUGGACAAAAUUUCGUUAGAGGAAUUUCGAUUUCAUUCUCAUCGCAAUGAGACACGAACACGUGUGAUUACGUUGGUCGAAAAUAUAUAUAUAUAUCGUAAUACCUAUAUCGUUUCGUUGUUUAGAAAUAUAUUUAACAAACUUUAUAUGGGAAGUAGUAACAGCGAGAUAUUAUAAAUAUUGAUAAAAAUCUAGCAGAGUGUCGUAAUUUCGUAACAAAAAUACGAAGCUAGUUUAAACCCUCUUUUUAAAGGGAGCAGUAUAUAUAAAGAAUAUGUGAUUAAAAAUUAGAAUUGUCAACUACAUCGUAAAAGAAGGAAAAAUAUCUUCUACAUUUCAAACCAAUAUUCUAAAAAAUAUGUUUCCUAUACUUGCGUUAUCGUUCCAGCAAACCAACAAAACCAACAAAACGUAUACAUUCAAUUUUUAAUCGAAUUCGCGUAUAAUUUAAGAAUACACAGAAAUUCCACAAUUACACACGUAUACAUUAUCUUUCUAAGAUAUUUUGAAAUAUUUUCCGUAAUAUUAUCAACUUCGGUUAAUAUCUUCGAAUGUAACUAAAAAUAAAAAAAGGUACAAAAUAAUUGCGUCCUUUCCUGACCUCGAUAAAUCCAACCUCGUGGAGAUUAAAGUACGGAAAAACGGUAAGUACACGGAAUUUACGAUAUACUCGAGCGACACGUAUUACAGCAACCGAGGUGAAAAAUAUAAAACGAACGGUAAAGGUUUCGGAUAGAUAACGUGAAAUAUAUUAAAACGGUAAUCGCGGUAGAUAGAACGUCGUCUUAUUUGCACGAAUGCCGAUAAGCGACCACCGGAAUUCUGUGUUUUCGAUACCAAACUAAUUCGCUCACCUUAAACAAGCGACGUUAUAAAUGAUCGUAGCUAAUGGAAGUUGGAAAAUUUCACACGUUCAAUGAGAAUUUAGUUGUAUUUUAUCUUUAGCUAGAAUUCUAUUAACACGUUUUGUAUAUCUUAUCUGUAGCACUGAAUUAUUGCCGCUUCUUUCCGCUCGAUAUAUUCUAAUCUGUACACUGGUAUGCAAAAUUAAAGGAACACGCAAUUUUCGUCGAAUAAUUGUUAUAAUCUUGACAAACAAGAAAACUAUACAGCGAUCAUUCUGGGCUCGUUUUGAAGCGUAAAGCCGCUACUUUCGGAAUUCGUAGCAGUUUAUACCGGAACGAAGAAGCAUCUUCGCUUUCCCACUCUCCCACGCGAUGCAGGAACCUCUAUGUGAAAAACUGUUACGAAUUGUGAAAGUAGCAGCUUUACGCUUCAAAACGAGCUCAGAAUGAUCGCUGUAUGUUUUUUUGUUACGAGAUUAUAACGAACAGUUUAGACGUCAGCAAUUAAUUAUUCGACGAAAAUUGAGUGUUCCUUUGAUUUCGUGAUGAUUGAGUGUUCUUUCGAUUGAAAUAGAAUUGUUUAAACGUUUUCUCAUACAUUUAGUAGUUUACGUUGUUAUUGCGGCACUAAAAAUAGCGAGUACUUUGCGAAUGUAAUUGUUUAUCUGGAUAAAGUGUUUCAAUUAAUUCCGACAUCACCGGUCAUCAAUGAUGUCACGAACGAGUCUAGUGCCGGUCAACCACCGUGGCUAUGUUGAUGUUCACCUACUGCCAUCCAUUCGUUGAACAAAUAUCUAUCACGUAAUUCAUUUCCUACAUACAUUUAUCAUACAUAGUUUUGUCUUUCGAGUAGCUCGUAAUUCGCCUUCUUAUCCUUUACAAUACAAUUU